rnacentral:rRNA from 1 species
GACGAACGCUGGCGGCGUGCUUAACACAUGCAAGUCGAACGGAAAGGCCCUGCUUUUGUGGGGUGCUCGAGUGGCGAACGGGUGAGUAACACGUGAGUAACCUGCCCUUGACUUUGGGAUAACUUCAGGAAACUGGGGCUAAUACCGGAUAGGAGCUCCUGCUGCAUGGUGGGGGUUGGAAAGUUUCGGCGGUUGGGGAUGGACUCGCGGCUUAUCAGCUUGUUGGUGGGGUAGUGGCUUACCAAGGCUUUGACGGGUAGCCGGCCUGAGAGGGUGACCGGCCACAUUGGGACUGAGAUACGGCCCAGACUCCUACGGGAGGCAGCAGUGGGGAAUAUUGCACAAUGGGCGGAAGCCUGAUGCAGCAACGCCGCGUGCGGGAUGACGGCCUCGGGUUGUAAACCGCUUUCGCCUGUGACGAAGCGUGAGUGACGGUAAUGGGUAAAGAAGCACCGGCUAACUACGUGCCAGCAGCCGCGGUGAUACGUAGGGUGCGAGCGUUGUCCGGAUUUAUUGGGCGUAAAGGGCUCGUAGGUGGUUGAUCGCGUCGGAAGUGUAAUCUUGGGGCUUAACCCUGAGCGUGCUUUCGAUACGGGUUGACUUGAGGAAGGUAGGGGAGAAUGGAAUUCCUGGUGGAGCGGUGGAAUGCGCAGAUAUCAGGGGGAACACCAGUGGCGAAGGCGGUUCUCUGGGCCUUUCCUGACGCUGAGGAGCGAAAGCGUGGGGAGCGAACAGGCUUAGAUACCCUGGUAGUCCACGCUGUAAACGGUGGGUACUAGGUGUGGGGUCCAUUCCACGGGUUCCGUGCCGUAGCUAACGCUUUAAGUACCCCGCCUGGGGAGUACGGCCGCAAGGCUAAAACUCAAAGGAAUUGACGGGGCCCCGCACAAGCGGCGGAGCAUGCGGAUUAAUUCGAUGCAACGCGUAGAACCUUACCUGGGUUUGACAUGGAUCGGGAGUGCUCAGAGAUGGGUGUGCCUCUUUUGGGGUCGGUUCACAGGUGGUGCAUGGCUGUCGUCAGCUCGUGUCGUGAGAUGUUGGGUUAAGUCCCGCAACGAGCGCAACCCUUGUUCACUGUUGCCAGCACGUUAUGGUGGGGACUCAGUGGAGACCGCCGGGGUCAACUCGGAGGAAGGUGGGGAUGACGUCAAGUCAUCAUGCCCCUUAUGUCCAGGGCUUCACGCAUGCUACAAUGGCUGGUACAGAGAGUGGCGAGCCUGUGAGGGUGAGCGAAUCUCGGAAAGCCGGUCUCAGUUCGGAUUGGGGUCUGCAACUCGACCUCAUGAAGUCGGAGUCGCUAGUAAUCGCAGAUCAGCAACGCUGCGGUGAAUACGUUCCCGGG